CCUGGAUUAGCUCAGUUGGUUAGAGCAUUGGCUCAAUACACCAAGAUUGCAGGUUCAAUUCCCAGUCAGGA
rfam:Myotis lucifugus cont2.3922, whole genome shotgun sequence.